rnacentral:lncRNA from 1 species
GAGAUCAGAAGACAGGCCCACUGCUGCUGUGGGCCUUCAUCAUUGACAACCAUCGAGUGACCAACAAUCAUCACAUGACCAAUAACCAUCACAUGACCAACAACCAUCACAUGACCAAUAAUCAUCACAUGACCGAGUAGAUGAUUUCUCCAGAGGACACACACCAACCAGGGGCGCUUGGAUUUACCUAACUUAGAAGAGUUGACUUGUUUGGAGAUGGCCUGUGGAGGGAACUUCAAAGACAACAUUUCAGGAAUCAUUUCUCGAGUCUGAAGGGACUCUUCACCUCCCGCUCUUUAGUAGCUGGAUAGGUCAGAUUGACAGAACCCAUAGGAGAUCAAAAUCAGGAGGAGGUGACGACGGCAAAGAUUUAAAAGGCACAAGGAGCUGAUGAAGAGGCAUGAGGCAGAGCACCUUAGAGAAAGUUCAGGCAGGAUGCCCUUCUGGCCUCGUGGAGGCCAGCCAGAGUGUGUCUCAAGAGUCUUCCAUGAGAAGAUUGCUAAAGGCACACGUUCUAAACCUACACGGCCCACAUCCUAACAGCCAUGUGAAGACCUUCCUCUUGCAGAGAAGAUUUUCAUUAAAGGUUCCUUAACCCAC